CCCCUAGAUGUUCUGGGCCGCACUCGCGCUACACUGAACAGUUCAACAAGUCUUAACCUUGGCCGAUAGGUCUGGGUAAUCUUUGAACGCUGUUCGUGAUUGGGAUAGACCUUUGCAAUUAUGGGUCUUCAACGAGGAAUUCCUAGUAAACGCAAGUCAUCAGCUUGCAUUGAUUACGUCCCUGCCCUUUGUACACACCGCCCGUCGCACCUACCGAUUGAAUGGUCCGGUGAAAUCUCGGGACGGCGGCUUGGUCGCUUGCGUCCGACUGCUGAAACUUGAUUAAACCAUAUCAUUUAGAGGAAGGUGAAGUCGUAACA
rnacentral:rRNA from 1 species